AUGGAUCCAGCUGUGAUUAUCAUCUUACUUCUCUACAGAAUAGAUUCUACUCAAGCAGUGAGAAAUUCAGAGCCACUGGUCAUCUCAGCUGAGCCCGGUGGAGCGGUCAAUCUCACCUGCACAUUUGUAGACGACUCAGAUAAAGAGGUUAGGAUGUGGUACAAACAAAGACUGGAGCAUGCGCCACUGGAAGUGGGAUCAAAGUUAGAAGACAAACCGGCUGUGAUUCCAGGUCAAUUUGACAAAUCGAGAUUUAAACUCAACAGAAUAGCGAGUGGCAUUUCUCUCAGUAUUGAACGCGUCACUAAAGAAGAUGAAGGAAUGUACUUCUGUGUUGAGACUGGAAAGAAAACGCUGGACUUCUCUACUGCUACAUUCUUAGCGGUCACAGGUAACAUUUAA